GAUGAACGCUGGCGGCGUGCCUAAUACAUGCAAGUAGAACGCUGAAGGGAGGAGCUUGCUCUUUCCGGAUGAGUUGCGAACGGGUGAGUAACGCGUAGGUAACCUGCCUGGUAGCGGGGGAUAACUAUUGGAAACGAUAGCUAAUACCGCAUAACAGUAGAUGUUGCAUGAUAUCUACUUAAAAGGUGCAAUUGCACCACUACCAGAUGGACCUGCGUUGUAUUAGCUAGUUGGUGAGGUAACGGCUCACCAAGGCGACGAUACAUAGCCGACCUGAGAGGGUGAUCGGCCACACUGGGACUGAGACACGGCCCAGACUCCUACGGGAGGCAGCAGUAGGGAAUCUUCGGCAAUGGACGGAAGUCUGACCGAGCAACGCCGCGUGAGUGAAGAAGGUUUUCGGAUCGUAAAGCUCUGUUGUAAGAGAAGAACGAGUGUGAGAGUGGAAAGUUCACACUGUGACGGUAUCUUACCAGAAAGGGACGGCUAACUACGUG
rnacentral:rRNA from 1 species